rnacentral:rRNA from 1 species
UACGUAGGUGGCAAGCGUUGUCCGGAAUUAUUGGGCGUAAAGCGUGCGUAGGCGGUGUCUUAAGUUUGUUGUGAAAUCUCCCGGCUUAACCGGGAGGGUGCGGCGAAUACUGAGAUGCUGGAGUGCCGGAGAGGUAAGCGGAAUUCCUGGUGUAGCGGUGAAAUGCGUAGAUAUCAGGAGGAACACCUGCGGUGUAGACGGCUUACUGGACGGUAACUGACGCUGAGGCACGAAAGCGUGGGGAGCGAACAGG